CUAGGAUAGUUUUGAGCUCCUUGAGGCAUGACAGUCCUGGUGUAUUGCUGACGUUCAUGGGUGAAGGCAAACAGAUAUUGACAGGAAGGAUCCAGAGGUACACUGAAAAAAGCAUUAGCCAAAUCCACCACUGUGAAAAUCUUGGAGGUAGGUGGGACAACUGACAGGAGCGUGUGAGGGUUAGGUACAAUGGGGGUUUUCAGAACAGUAGCUUCUUUGACAGCUCUGAGGUCUUGAACCAUUCUGUAUUUUUCGGGCUCACCCUUGGCAGACUUCUUCUUCACGGGGAAUAGAG